AGCAUCCACUUGCAGAGCCACAGCACCAUACGUCACCGCAGUUUCAGACCCGCAGUUGUAGACCCGCAGUUUUAGACCCGGAAGUGACGUUACCAUUUCUAGGCAAGCCGAAAACAACACCUCCAUUUAUCGAACACAAGUCUUGGUUUUUAGCACGAGCGCAGCAUUUUCGAGCACAAACAAAAUAUGACAGAAAACAGCACGUAACAAGACAAAACGAAUAUCUUCAGGCACAUGGAUACUAAUUAAAAACAAGAAUCUUCCACAGCAGUUGGUUGGGUGAGUGGAUUGUGGAGUAUUCAUGUUGAUGUGUGAUUUACCCUUGAUCAGGAGGUGCUGGUGCUUUAUUCUAUUGGAGAAUUUUGCUGUUGGAAGUUAUCUCUUUCUCUGUGGCUAACGUGUGAAUAUUUCGUACAGGACAAAGGCGUUCACUAAAGGAACCACUAAUAAAAAAGGACCUCCACACUGCAGUAAAAUGGUUGCGCCAACAUAGACGGUUGUUCAGAGGUGCCGUGUCUGAGCCCCAUUUUCUGGAGAUGGAGGAGGAGGACCAAAGCCGAGCUCUCCAGGACAUCAUCGAUGCAGUCGAAACUGAAGAUUUAAUUUUGGCAAAAGAACCCUUUGUAUUUAUUUUUCAGUUUAGGGAUGAUAUGGAACUUUUCACUCAGGAAUGUCGGGAUAAAAUGAAACUUAAAGUAAACUGCAUAUUUAAUGAAUCAGUAUAAUUAUUGUCUGUUGCUACAUUGAUUGUUACUUGUAUUUUAUUGUGCAUUAAUGCUCUAUUGAUUUCAGUUUAUAAUACUUUGAUUUUUCUGUUUUCCUUUGAUGGUGGAUAGUUUUUGAAAAUAAACAAUUUAACUGCAA